UACGUAGGGGGCAAGCGUUGUCCGGAAUCAUUGGGCGUAAAGCGCGUGUAGGCGGUCCGGUAAGUCCGCUGUGAAAGUCGGGGGCUCAACCCUCGGAUGCCGGUGGAUACUGUCGGGCUUGAGUACGGAAGAGGCGAGUGGAAUUCCUGGUGUAGCGGUGAAAUGCGCAGAUAUCAGGAGGAACACCAAUGGCGAAGGCAGCACUCUGGGACGUGACUGACGCUGAGACGCGAAAGCGUGGGGAGCAAACAGG
rnacentral:rRNA from 1 species